GCUUGUAGCACUUAUUUUACCCUGGGCUCACUAAACCUGCUCAUCUCCACUACAACAUUCAAGAACCGUCAAACUCCUGAUCCAGUAACCUUCUAUGACUAGCGUGCAUCAUGGCAUUUACAGUAAAGCUAGCCCUCUACAGCUCACACCUCUGACUGCCAAAGGCACAUAUAGAGGCCCCAUUGCCGGGUCUAUCGUUCUUGCAGCAGUACUUCUAAAAUUAGGUGGGUAUGGUAUAAUACAAGUUACUUUAAUUCUAAUCCCCUGGCAGAAUUUAUAGCAUAUCCAUUCCUCAUUCUAUCUCUCUAAGGGAUAAUCAUAACAAGUUCUAUUUGCUUCUGACAGACUGACCUAAAAUCACUCAUUGGCCUAUUUUUUCAUAAGCCACAUGGCGCUUG
rnacentral:lncRNA from 1 species